CGGGACGGGUGAGUAACGCGUGGGUAACCUGCCUCAUACAGGGGGAUAACAGUUAGAAAUGGCUGCUAAUACCGCAUAAGCGCACAGGACCGCAUGGUCUGGUGUGAAAAACUCCGGUGGUAUGAGAUGGACCCGCGUCUGAUUAGCUAGUUGGAGGGGUAACGGCCCACCAAGGCGACGAUCAGUAGCCGGCCUGAGAGGGUGAACGGCCGCAUUGGGACUGAGACACGGCCCAG
rnacentral:rRNA from 1 species